GAUGAACGCUGGCGGCGUGCCUAAUACAUGCAAGUCGAGCGAACAGACGAGGAGCUUGCUCCUCUGACGUUAGCGGCGGACGGGUGAGUAACACGUGGAUAACCUACCUAUAAGACUGGGAUAACUUCGGGAAACCGGAGCUAAUACCGGAUAAUAUAUUGAACCGCAUGGUUCAAUAGUGAAAGACGGUUUUGCUGUCACUUAUAGAUGGAUCCGCGCCGCAUUAGCUAGUUGGUAAGGUAACGGCUUACCAAGGCGACGAUGCGUAGCCGACCUGAGAGGGUGAUCGGCCACCUUGGAACUGAGACACGGUCCAGACUCCUACGGGAGGCAGCAGUAGGGAAUCUUCCGCAAUGGGCGAAAGCCUGACGGAGCAACGCCGCGUGAGUGAUGAAGGUCUUCGGAUCGUAAAACUCUGUUAUUAGGGAAGAACAAAUGUGUAAGUAACUAUGCACGUCUUGACGGUACCUAAUCAGAAAGCCACGGCUAACUACGUG
rnacentral:rRNA from 1 species